rnacentral:rRNA from 1 species
UACGGGGGGAGCAAGCGUUGUUCGGAUUUACUGGGCGUAAAGGGCGCGUAGGCGGUCAGCACAAGUCAGUUGUGAAAUCUCCGGGCUUAACUCGGAAAGGUCAACUGAUACUGUGCGACUAGAGUGCAGAAGGGGCAACUGGAAUUCUCGGUGUAGCGGUGAAAUGCGUAGAUAUCCGGAGGAACACCGGUGGCGAAGGCGGCUUCCUGGACCGACACUGACGCUGAGGCGCGAAAGCGUGGGGAUCAAACAGG